UGGGGAAUUUUGGACAAUGGGGGAAACCCUGAUCCAGCCAUCCCGCGUGUGCGAUGAAGGCCUUCGGGUUGUAAAGCACUUUUGGCAGGAAAGAAACGUCAUGGGUUAAUACCCCGUGAAACUGACGGUACCUGCAGAAUAAGCACCGGCUAACUACGUGCCAGCAGCCGCGGUAAUACGUAGGGUGCAAGCGUUAAUCGGAAUUACUGGGCGUAAAGCGUGCGCAGGCGGUUCGGAAAGAAAGAUGUGAAAUCCCAGAGCUCAACUUUGGAACUGCAUUUUUAACUACCGGGCUAGAGUGUGUCAGAGGGAGGUGGAAUUCCGCGUGUAGCAGUGACAUGCGUAGAUAUGCGGAGGAACACCGAUGACGAAGGCAGCCUCCUGGGAUAACACUGACGCUCAUGCACGAAAGCGUGGGGAGCAAACAGG
rnacentral:rRNA from 1 species